rnacentral:rRNA from 1 species
CCCUUAGUUGUCCUGGGCCGCACGCGCGCUACACUGACAUGUUCAACAAGUUUCUCCUAGUUCGACAGGACUGGGAAAUCUUUGAACGCAUGUCGUGAUAGGGAUAGAUCAUUGCAAUUAUUGAUCUUGAACGAGGAAUUCCUAGUAAACGCGAGUCAUCAGCUCGCAUUGAUUACGUCCCUGCCCUUUGUACACACCGCCCGUCGCACCUACCGAUUGAAUGUUUCGGUGAAGAUUCCGGAUAGGACUGAUUUGAUUUAUUUCAUUUCUGACCUAAAAGCUAUCUAAACCUCAACAUUUAGAGGAAGGUGAAGUCGUAACA